GAAGAAGAAGAAGAAGGGAAAGAGACUUCUGGUGGCGUACUAGUUAAGUACUGUGGCUGCUAACCAAAAGCCCGGCACACCAGAGGGAAUUUCAGAUUUUAGGUCGCUAACUCACGCUGACUGUGCAGCUUCUAAGUUCCAAAGCAAUACUAUUUGCUUCAAGUUUUCUUUUUCCUUCCCAUUUUUUUAAAAAAGUUAUUACUUCCUGUUUACAAAAACACAUGAAAUCGUCUCAGGCUCCCACUUGAGUGAUCCUGGUUUUGAAGAAAGUAUUCCCAAGCAACAUGCCAGUUGUUUAAAGCUAAGGAAACUGGAACAUCUGUCUGAAAUUUUCUCGUAUUGCACCUGGGCUUCAAAAUGAAGGAAGGUACGGAUCUUCUAACUAUCCUGGGGCAUUCUGAAAUAGGCUGUGCUCUUUGUGAUGGUUAAAGUUAUGUGUCAACUUGACUAGGCCAUGACUCUCAGUGGCUUGGAAGAUAUUAUGUAAUCAUCCUCCAUUUUGUGAUCUGAUGUGAGCAGCCAAUCAGUUGGAAACUAAUCAGUCGAAAGCAAAUCAGUUGAAGUCAGUCAGUUUUCUUGGGGAUAUGACCUGCAUCCAAGCUAUAUGGAUGU